UACGGGGGGGGCAAGCGUUGUUCGGAAUUACUGGGCGUAAAGGGCUCGUAGGUGGCCAACUAAGUCGGACGUGAAAUCCCUCGGCUUAACCGGGGAACUGCGUCCGAUACUGGUUGGCUUGAGUUUGGGAGAGGGAUGCGGAAUUCCAGGUGUAGCGGUGAAAUGCGUAGAUAUCGAGAGGAACACCUGCGGCGAAGGCGGGUUGCUGGGCUGAUACUGACGCUGAGGCGCGAAAGCCAGGGGAGCGAACGGG
rnacentral:rRNA from 1 species